rnacentral:tRNA from 1 species
UGGGGCAUUAGCGCAGUUGGGAGCGUGCCACACUGGCAGUGUGGAGGUCACGGGUUCGAAUCCCGUAUGCUCCAU